rnacentral:rRNA from 1 species
GAUGAACGCUGGCGGCGUGCCUAAUACAUGCAAGUCGAGCGAACGGACGAGAAGCUUGCUUCUCUGAUGUUAGCGGCGGACGGGUGAGUAACACGUGGAUAACCUACCUAUAAGACUGGGAUAACUUCGGGAAACCGGAGCUAAUACCGGAUAAUAUUUUGAACCGCAUGGUUCAAAAGUGAAAGACGGUCUUGCUGUCACUUAUAGAUGGAUCCGCGCUGCAUUAGCUAGUUGGUAAGGUAACGGCUUACCAAGGCAACGAUGCAUAGCCGACCUGAGAGGGUGAUCGGCCACACUGGAACUGAGACACGGUCCAGACUCCCACGGGAGGCAGCAGUAGGGAAUCUUCCGCAAUGGGCGAAAGCCUGACGGAGCAACGCCGCGUGAGUGAUGAAGGUCCUCGGAUCGUAAAACUCUGUUAUUAGGGAAGAACAUAUGUGUAAGUAACUGUGCACAUCUUGACGGUACCUAAUCAGAAAGCCACGGCUAACUACGUG